UUUUGACAUGUGAAAGCUUUAUGUUAUGGCAGGCUCUGCUACGUUCUGAUCUCCCAUUCUAUAUGGUACCAUUUGCUACUGGAGAUCUCGCAUUUAAGAAACCAGAGGAUAACGGGGAGAAAUUCACGAGUCUCUUAAAUGCCAUCGGUGCUUAUGCAGAAGGAUUUUCAGCUGAUCCUAUCAUUAGAAGGGCAUUUUACUUGUGGAAGAAGCUUGAAACUCAACGUUAAGUUGGUUCUGCAAUUGGGCAUCACAGACCUGUUGGCACUGGAUUUUCCAGCAAAUGAGGCAUGGCAAACUUCUUUGUACAGUUAACUUGGCGAGACUGGCUGAUUCUAAAAUUGAAAAAUAUAGGAAGAUGGUCCAAAUCUGCUGGUUCUUAAUUUUGUCAUUGUCUUAUUUUGGAGGCCUCAAAUCUUUGAAGGAACAUCAAGUCUCUAUAUAUAGAAACUUUCUAUUUUCUUUUAUAACUGUUCCAAAAGAAAAUCAAUGCAAUGCACUCUACUAGCAAUUCUUUUAUCACUAUUCCAAAAGAAAAUCAAUGCAAAGCACUCUACUAGCAAUUCUUUUGUUACU